rnacentral:rRNA from 1 species
GACGAACGCUGGCGGCGUGCUUUAGGCAUGCAAGUCGAACGCGAAAGCCCCUUCGGGGGUGAGUAGAGUGGCGAACGGGUGAGUAACACGUGGGUAACCUGCCCCUCGCAGGGGGAUAACCGGGGGAAACCCCGGCUAAUACCCCGUACGCUUGCUGGGGCGCAUGCUCCGGCAAGGAAAGGUAGCUUCGGCCAUCCGGCGAGGGAGGGGCCCGCGGCCCAUUAGCUAGUUGGUGGGGUAACGGCCCACCAAGGCGACGAUGGGUAGCUGGCCUGUGAGGGUGGUCAGCCACACUGGGACUGAGACACGGCCCAGACUCCUACGGGAGGCAGCAGCCAGGAAUCUUGCGCAAUGGGCGAAAGCCUGACGCAGCAACGCCGCGUGGGCGAUGAAGGCCUUCAGGUCGUAAAGCCCUGUUGUCGGGGACGAAGGGCGAAGGGUUAAUAGCCCCUAGCCUGACGGUACCCGACGAGGAAGCCCCGGCUAACUACGUG